GCCAGAAGUACACUGCGGCGAUCCCGGAGAGGCAGUUCUUAACUGGCAUCAGCGCUGCGGCCGGAGGCUCGGCUGGUUACCAGUUCCACCUUGGCUUGUGCAACCACCCUGGAUCCGCGAACUCUGUGCAGCUGCUCCGUCCACCAUAUCUUGCGGCGGCGAGCGCUAAGAAUUCAUGCUAAGACACUCGAUUCAGCCAAGAGGUGACACCAAAUGUGAUCAGAAGCCAUGCCCCUGGUGAAGAGGUGUACUGAACCCGGCCUGGCCCAGUGAGGUUACUAGAGAAUUGGGAAAGGCUUAAAUAAGUAUCCUGCACAUGGUUAUCAAAUCAUUGCAAAGUCUUGAAAAUCAUCUGGAAUGCUUGUUAAAAAUGCAGAUUUCUGGGCAGCCAGAAACCUUGCACUAGUCAAGAGCAACACUAAGACCCACCUGUCAUUUAUAUUGAGGCUUCCUGCCCGGUGGGUUCAUCAGCAAGCCAGAAUGAAUCACCAUUGCUGUGUGUGGAUCCUUGUGAGGCAGCUGGGAAGUCUUGGCUAAAUUGUGAAGGAUGUCUUUUGAAAAGUGUUCUAGAGAGUCUACUGAUUUUCCCACAUGAGUGAACGUGUAGCAGAAGAGAGGAUCCUCUCAGUGAUUAAGGAGACCUUAGAAACAACUUGUUGAGUUCUCACCAUGAAUACCAUUGGAAUUGCAGUUGGAAUGGCAUUAAACAUGUAGAUUAAUUUUUGGAGAGCGAUCAUCUUUCUAAUCUUCUCCUAUAUGAAUGUGAGAGCAUGAGCUGUGGAGAGGGGCAGAGGAGGGAAGAGAGAGAGAGAAUCCCAAGGAGGCUCCGUGCCCAGCACAGAGCCUGAACCAGGACUCGAUCCUACAACUCUGAGGUCAUGACCCGAGCCAAAAUCAAGAGUUGGACACUCAACCAACCAAGCCACCCAGUGACAAAAUGAAGGAAUUCACCCCAAAAGAAAGAACAGGAAGAAAUGACAGCCAGCAGCUUAAUCAACACAGAUGUAAGCAAGAUGUCUGAACUAGAAUUUAGAACCACGAUACUAAGAAUAGUAGCUGGAGUUGAAGAAAGCCUAGAAACCUUUUCUGUGGAGAUAAAAGAAGUAAAUCUAGUCAGGACGAAAAUAAAAUUGCUAUAAACGAGAUGCAAUCUUGAGUGUAUGCCAAGAUGACAAUAAUGGAUGAAGCAGAGCAGCGAAUCCGCUAUAAAGAAAAAAAUUGUGGAAAAUAAUGAAGCAGGAAAAAGAGGGAAACAAAGGCAAAGAGCACAAUACAAGACUUAGAGAACUCAGUGACUUAUUAAAAAGGAAUAACAUCCAAAUCAUAGGAACAUAGGAGUUGAAAAGAAAGAAAAAGGGUCAGUGAGCAAAUUAUAGCAGAAACCUUUCCUAAUCUGGGAAAGGACACAGACAUCAAAAUCCAAGAAUCACAGAGAACUCCCAUUAGAUUAAACAAAAACCAACCAUCAAAAAGGCAUAUCCUAGUCAAAUUCACAAAAUACAUAGACAAGGAAAGAAUUAUAAAACCAACAAGGGAAGGGUGCCUGGGUGGCUCAGUCAGUAAGCAUCCGACUUCAGCUCAGAUCAUGAUCUUCUGGUCUAUGAGUUCAAACCCUGCAUCGGGCUCUGUGCUGACAGCUCAGAGCCUGGAUCCUGCUUUGGAUUCUGUAUCUCCCUCUCUCUCUGCCCCUCCACCAGUCGCACUCUAUGUCUCUUUCUCGCUCUCAAAAGUAAAUAAACAAUUACAAAUUAAAAACAACAAGGGAAAAAAAUCCUUAACCUAUAAGCGAAGACAGUUCACGUUCACAGCAGACCUAUCCAUAGAAACUUGGCAGGCCAGAAGGGAGUGGCAGGAUAUAUUCAACAUGCUGAAUCAGGAAAAUGUGCAGCCAAGAAUUCUUUAUACAGCAGGGCUGUCAUUCAAAAUAGAAGGAGAUAAAGUGUUUCCCAGAUAAACAAAAACUAAAGGAGUUCAUGAUCACUUAACUAGCCCUGCAAAAAAUUUUAAGGAGGACUCUUUGAGUGGAGAAAAGACAAAACAAAACAAAAAAGUCAAAAGCACUACAGACAACACAAUGGCACUAAAUUCAUAACUUUCAGUACUCGCUCUAAAUGUCAAUGUACUAAACGCUCCAAUCAAAAGACAUAGGGUAUCAGCAUGGAUAAGAAAACAAGGCCCAUCUAUAUGCUGCUUACAAUAGACCCAUUUUAAACCUAAAGACACCUGUAGAUUGAAAGUAAGGGGGUGGAGAACCAUCUAUCAUGCUAAUGAUUGUCAGAAGAAAGCUGGAGUAGCCAUACCUAUAUCAGACAAAAUAUUUUAAAAUAAAGGCUGUAACAAGUGAUGAAGAAGGGCAUUAUAUCAUAAUCACGGGGUGUAUCCACCAAGAAGACCUAACAAUGGUAAAUAUUUAUGCCCUCAACUGAAAGCCCCUGAAUAUAUAAAUCAUUAAUUACAAACAUAAAGAAACUCAUUGAUAAUAAUACCAUCAUUAGUAAGAGACUUCAACACCCCACUUGGAACAAUGAACAAAUCAUCUAAGCAGAAAAUCAACAAGGAGACAUGGCUUUGAAUGACAUGCUGGACUCGAUGGACUUAACAGAUAAAUUCAGAACACUUCAUCCUAAAGAAGCAGAAUACAAAUUUUACUCGAGUGCACAUGGGACAUUCUCCAGAAUAGAUCACAUACUGGGACACAAAUCAGCCCUCAAUAAUACAAAAAAGGUCGAGGUCAUACCAUGCAUAUUUUCAGACCACAACACUAUGAAACUUGAAAUCAACCACAAGAAAAAAUUUGGAAAGACAAUGAAUACUUGUAGAUUAAAGAACAUCCUACUAAAGAAUGAAUGGAUCAACCAAUAAAUUAAAGAGGACAUUAAAAAGUACAUGGAAGCCAAUGAAAAGGAAACCACGACAGCCCAAAAGCUCAGGGAUGUGGCAAAGGUGGUCAGAAGAGGGAAGUAUAUAGCAAUCCAGCCCUUCCUAAAGAAGGAAGAAAAGUCUCAAAUACAUAACCUAACCUUAGACCUAAAAGAGCUGGGUAAAGAACAGCAAAUAAAGCCCAAAACCAACAGAAGAAGGAAAUAAUAAGGAUAAGAGCAGAAAUCAAUGAUAUCAAAAUCACAAAAACAGAACAGAUCAAUGAAACUAGGAGCUGGUUUUUUGAAAGAAUUAACCAAAUGGACAAAGCCCUGGCCAGAUUGAUCAAAAAGAAAAAGGAAAGGACCCAAAGUAAUAAAAUCACAAAUGAAAGAGGAGAGAUCACAACAAACACCACAGAAAUACAAACAACAAUAAGAGAAUAUUAGGAGAAAUUAUAUGCCAAGAAGUUGGGGAAUCUGGAAGAAAUGCACAAAUUCCUAGAACAUAUAAACUACCAAAAUUGAAACAGGAAGAAAUAGAAAAUUUAAACAGACCCAUAAUCAGUAAAGAAAUUGAAUCAGUAAUCAAAAAUCUCCCAAAAAAUAGGAGACCAGAGCCAGGUGACUUUCCAGGGGAUUUCUACCAAACAUUUAAGAAAGAGUAACACCUACUCUUUUGCAGCUGUUCCAAAAUAUAGAAAUGGAAGGAAAACUGCCAAACUCAUUCUAUGAGUCCAGUAUUACUUUGGUUCCAAAACCAAAGACCCCACUAAAAAGGAGAACUACAGAACAAUUUCCCUGAUGAACAUGGAUGAAAAAAUGCUCAACAAGAUACUAGCAAACCGGAUCCAACAAUACAUUAAAAGAAUUAUUCACCAUGAUCCAGUGGGAUUUAUUCCUGUAAUGCAGAGCUGUUUCAAUAUCUGCAAAUCAAUGUGAUACAUCACAUGAAUAAAAGAAAGGAUAAGAACCACAUGAUCCUCUCAACAGUUGCAGAGAAAGCAAUUGACAAAAUACAGCAUCCUUUAUUAACAAAAACCCUCAAGAAAGUAGAGAUAGAGGGAUCAUACCCCAAGAUCAUAAAAGCCAUAUACAAAAAAACCAUAUACAAAAGACCUGGAGCUAGUAUCAUCCUCAAUGGGGAAAAGUUGAGAGCUUUUCCAUUAAGGUCAGGAACAUGACAGGGAUGUCCAUGCUCACUGCUAUUCAACAUAGUGUUGGAAGUCCUAUCCUGAGCAGACAACACAAAGAAAUAAAAGGCAUCCAAAUCAACAAGGAGGAAGUCAAACUUUCAUUCUUCGCAGAUGACAUGAUACUCUAUAUGGAAAACACAAAAGACUCCACCAAAAACUUGCUAGAACAGAUACAUGAAUUCAACAAGGUUGCAGGAUAUAAAAUCAAUGUAGAGAAAUCAGGUGCAUUUCUAUACACCAAUAAUGAAGCAACAGAGAGGGAAAUCAAGGAAUUGAUCCCAUUUACAGUUGCACCAAAACCCAUAAAAUACCUAGAAAUAAACCUAAUUGAAGAGGUAAAAAAACUAUAUGCUGAAAACUAUAGAAAGGUUAUGAAAGAAAUGAAGACACCAAAAAAUGGAAAAAUAUUCCAUGCUUAUGGAUUGGAAGAACAAAUAUUGUUAAAAUGUAGAUACUACUCAAAGCAAUCUAUGUAUUCAAUGAAUUCCUAUUAAAAUAACAGUAGAAUUCUUCACAGAGCUAGAACAAAUAAUUCUAAAAUUUAUAUGGAACCAGAAAAGACAUUGAAUGGCCAAAGAAAUCCUGAAAAAGAAAACCAAAGCUGGAGGCAUCAUAAUUCCGGACUUCAAGCUGUAUUACAAAGCUGUAACCAUCAAGACAGUAUGGUAUUAACACAAAACAGACAGACCAGUGGAACAGAAUAGGGAACCCAGAAAUGGACCCACAAAUGUAAGACCAACUAAUCUUUGAUAAAUUGGGAAAGAAUAUCCAAUGGAAAUAACAGUCUCUUCAGGAAAUGGUUCUGGGAAAACUGGACAGUGACAUUUAGAGGAAAGAACCUGGACCGCUUUCUUAAAACAUACACAAAAAUAAACUCAAAAUGGAUGACAGACCCAAACAUGAGACAAGAAGCCAUUAAAAUCCUAGAGAAAACAGGCAACAACCUCUUUGACCUCAGCCACAUCAACUUCGUACUUGACGUGUCUUUAGAGGCAAGGGAAACAAAAGCAAAAAUGAACUAUUGGGGCCUCAUCUAGAUAAAAAGCUUCUGCACAGUGAAGGAUACAAUUAGCAAAACUAAAAGGCAACCAACAGAACGGGAGAAGACAUUUGCAAAUGACAUAUCAGAUAAAGGGUUAGUAUCCAAAAUCUAAAAAUAAACUUACCAAGCUCAACAUCCAAAAAACAAAUACUCCACUGAAGAAAUGGGUAACGACAUGAAUAGACACUUCUCUAAAGAAAACAUCCAGAUGACUAACAGACACAUGAAAAAAAUGCUCAACAUCAUUCAUCUUUAGGGAAAUACAAAGCAAAACCUCUAUGAGAUACCACCUCACACCUGUCAGAGUGACUAAAAUUAACAACUCAGGCAACAACAGAUGUUGGUGAGGAUGUGGAGAAAGGGAACCCUUUUACACUGCUAGUGGGAAUGCAAACUGAUGCAGCUACUCUGGAGAACAGUCAGGAGGUUCCUCAAGAAACUACAAAUAGAACUAUCCUAUGACCCAACAAUUGCAUUACUAGGUAUUUAUCCAAGGGAUACAGGUGUGCUGUUUCGAAGGGACACAUGCACCCCAAUGUUUAUGGCAGCACUAUCAACAAUCGCCAAAGUAUGGAAAGUGCCCAAAUGUCCAUCGACUGAUGAAUGGAUAAAGAAGAAGUUGGUAUGUAUGCACAAUGGAAUAUUACUCAGCAAUCAAAAAGAAUAAAAUCUUGACAAUUGCAACUACAUGGAUAGAACUAGAGUGUAUUGUGCUAAGCAAAAUAAGUCAGAGAAAGACAAAUAGCAUAUGAUGUCACUCAUAUGGAAUUUAAGAUAUGAAACAGAUUAACAUAAGGGAAGAGAAGUAAAAAUAAUACAAAACAGAGAGAGAGGUCAACCAUAAGAGUCUCUUAAAUACAGAGAACAAAUUGAGGGUUGCUGGAUGGGUGUUAGGUGGGGGGGAUGAGAUAAAUGGGCAAGGGGCAUUAAGGAGGACAUUUGUUGCAAUGAGCACUGGGUGUUAUAUUUAAGUGAUGAACCACUAAAUUCUAUUCCUAAAAUCAUUAUUAUACUAUAUGUUAACUAACUUGGAUUUAAAUGUUUAAGAAAAGAAUUUUUAAAAAGAGCCGAAUGAAAAAUGAAUAUAUCUGUACUAUUCCAUUUAUUCAUUCAUUCAUUCAUUCAUUCAUAAUUAACAUACAAUGUUAUAUCAGUUUCAGGUGUACAAUAUAAUGAUUCAACAAUUCUACAGAUUACUUAGUGCUCAUCGUAAGUGUUCUCUUAAUCCUCUUGACCUAUUGACCCAACCACCUCCCCUUGGGCAACCACCAAUUUAUUCUAUAUAUAAGAGUCUGGUAUUUUGUUUCUCCUCUUUCUUUCUCUGUCUCUCUCUGUCUCUCUCUCUGUCUUUUUAAUUAGGCUUCAUGACCAUCAAUCACCCCAAAGCAGGGUGAACCCAUGACCCUGAGAUCAAGAGUCGGACGCUCAACCAACUGAUUAACCCAGGCGCCCCUGUUUCUCUUUUUUUCCUUUGUUCAUUUGUGUUUUUUUUUCUUAAACUCCACUUGUGAGUGAAAUCAUAUGGUAUUUGUCUUUCUGACUGACUUAUAUCACUUAGCAUUGUACCCUGCAGAUCCAUCCGUGUUGUUACAAAUGGCAAGAUAUUCAUUCUUUCUUAUGACUAAUAUUCCAUUAUAUAUAUAUAUAUAUAUAUAUAUAUAUAUAUACACCACAUCUUAACCUAGGUUGCUACCAUAUCUUGGCUAUUAUAAAUAAUGCUGCAAGAAACAUAGGACUGCAUAUAUCUUUUCAAAUUAGAGUUUUUAUUUUCUUUGGGUACAUUGUUUUCUAAUCAUAUAAUUAUUUAAAUGAGAACUAUUCUAUACUGAUCAGAAAUGGGUCAAUGGUUACCAGUGGAUAUGUGGGGGUGUUGUUGAAGGCAUUACAAAUGCACAAGAGAACAGUUUUCCUGAUAAUAGAUGUGCUUAUUAUCUUGAAUGUGAUAGUCUUGCAUAUGUAAAAACUUAUCAAAUUGUACAUUUUGAACAUGUACAUUUUGUUCUAUGUCAAUUCUACCUGUCAAUUAUGUUAAUACCUAUGCAAAUUCUGGCAUUAAAGAAAGCACCACUAAAGGGAAAAAAAUGUCAAGAACUUGUAUCCUAAUUAAAAUAACAAUUUAUCAACAUUGGUGACUGAAAUAACAAAGAAAGAAGAAAAUGUGUAAGGUGCUAAAGUUGUUGCCUGGUGUUUUGAUGCUUAUAAUGAAAUGUGAAAAGAGAAACUAAAAGGAGUAUUAAUCAUAAAGGAGUUUAGACCUAAUUAAUGGUUUAGAAAUGUUUUAGCAUCUCCUGAAGGUCAACUAUGUUUAAGUUAUGUCUUCCAAGUAAAGAGAAAAUCCAAGAUCCUGCCAGGAAAAUAUGGUCUCAAGGUGAAGCUGAAGCUAUGGUGCUAAAAUUCUUUGUUAAAGUAUGAGAAAGACAAAAUGUUGUGCCUCAGAAUAUUAAGCUGGACAAAGGCACUUUAAAAAGUUUAAGGGUGUGCCUGGGAGAGUAUCUUCAUCACACAAUAGGGCUUUUAAGAAAUGUAAAGACUAUUAUACAAAACUCCCAAAAGAAGACCAGGGUGAAACGGGGCUUAAUGAAAGAGAUUUCGGGGAUUGGUGUUUCUUCAUAGAAUAUCAAAAAUAAUUUUGAAAGAAUUAUGUUUCCAGACAUAUCACCAAAUUUACUAACAAGGACAGAAACACCACAAAAAAGGAAAAAAAAGGACUUUGAACUCUCAAAACCUACUUAGCUGGACCACUUUCUUAUACCAUACACAAAAAUAAAUUCAAAAUGGAUGAAAGACCUAAAUUUGAAACAAAACACCAAUAAAAUCCUAGAGGAGAACACAAAAAGCAACCUCUUUGACCUUGGCCAUAGCAACUUCUUACUAGAUAUGUCUCCUGAGACAAGGGAAACACAACAAAAUAUGUACUAUUGGGACCUCAUCAAGAUAAAAAGCUUCUGCACAGUGAAGGAAACAAUUAACAAAAUGAAAAAGGCAAGUUAUAGAAUGUGAGAAGAUAUAUGCAAAUGACGUAUCAGAUAAAGAGUUAGUACCCCAAAUCCAUGAAGAAUUUACCAAACUCAACACCUCCCCAAAUAAUCUAGUUUUAAAAAGGGGCAUAAGACAUGAAUAGACUUUUUCCCAAAGAAGACAUAGAGACGGCUAACAGACACAUGCAAAAAUGCUCAACAUCAUUCAUCAUCAGGGAAAUACAAAUCAAAACGACAAUGAGAUACCACCUCACACCUGUCAGAAUGGCAAAUAUUAACAACACAAGAAACAACAGGUGUUGGUGAGGAUGCAGAGAAAGGGGAACCCUCUUGCAAUAUUGUUGGGAAUGCAAGCUAGUGUGGCCACUCUGGUGAACAGUAUGGAGGUUCCUCAAGAAACUAAAAAUAGAACUACCCUAUGAUCCAGCAAUUGCACUACUAGGUAUUUAUCCAAAGGAUACAAAAAUACUGAUCCAAAGGGGCACAUGCACCACAAUGUUUAUAACUGUAUUAUCAAUAGCCAAAUUAUAGAAAGACCCCAAAUGUCUAUCAGUUGAUGAAUGGAUGAAGAUAUAAUACACACACACACACACACACACGCACACACACGCACACACACACACACACACACUGGACUAUUACUCAGCCAUCAAACAGAAUGGAAUAUUACCAUUUGCAAUGAUUCAGAUGGAGUUAGAAUUAUGCUACAGGAAAUAAGUCAGUAAGAGAAAGACAAACACCAUAUGAUUUCACUCAUAUGGAAAUUUAAGAAACAAAACAGAUGAACAUAGAAGGAAAAAAGAAGAAAACAAAACAUAAAUGACUAUUAACUCUAGAGAACAAACUGCAGGUUCCUGGAGGGGAGGUGGGCAGGGAUGAGCCAAAUGGGUGAUGGGUAUUGAGGAGGUCAUUUGUGAUAAGCACUGGAUGUUAUAUGUAUAAGUGAUGAAUCAUUAAAUUCUAUUCCUGAAACCAAUAUACACUAUAUGUUAACUAACUAGAAUUUAUUUUAACAUAAUUUAUCCUCAAAUUGGUUUCCAUACAACAUCCAGUGCUCAUCCCAACAAGUGCCAUCCUCGAUGCCCAUCACCCACUUUCACCUCUCCCCCAAUCCCAAUCAACCCUGUUUGUAACUUCC